rnacentral:tRNA from 1 species
CAGAGAAUAGUUUAUUUAAAAUAUGAAUUUUGGAGAUUUAAGAAGAGUUAAUCUUUUCUCUGA